AUUGAACGCUGGCGGCAGGCCUAACACAUGCAAGUCGAGCGGAUGAAGGGUGCUUGCUCCUGGAUUCAGCGGCGGACGGGUGAGUAAUGCCUAGGAAUCUGCCUGGUAGUGGGGGAUAACGUCCGGAAACGGGCGCUAAUACCGCAUACGUCCAGAGGGAGAAAGUGGGGGAUCUUCGGACCUCACGCUAUCAGAUGAGUCUAGGUCGGAUUAGCUAGUUGGUGGGUUAAAGGCCUACCAAGCCGACGAUCCGCAACUGGUCUGAGAGGAUGAUCAGUCACACUGGAGCUGAGACACGGUCCAGACUCCUACGGGAGGCAGCAGUGGGGAAUAUUGGACAAUGGGCGAAAGCCUGAUCCAGCCAGGCCGCGUGUGUGAAGAAGGUCUUCGGAGUGUAAAGCACUUUAAGUUGGGAGGAAGGGCAGUAAGUUAAUACCUUGCUGUUUUGACGUUACCAACAGAAUAAGCACCGGCUAACUUCGUG
rnacentral:rRNA from 1 species